UCACACACACACACACACACACACACACACAAUUGGAGGCCUAGAGGGAUGGGCUCAGUCUCGCCUGUAGCUGGUUUGGGAAGGGAAGCCACCCAUGGGAUCAGUGAUCUAAGUUUUAGAGCAGCUUGAAGAAUGGGACCUGAAAGACCGAUGAGAGUCCUGGCAUUGGUGAUCAGUAGGCCCUGAACCAAGAACCCUCUCAACUGCAGAAAUGAUGCCAACUUCAAUACCAAUGGUGAUCCAAGGACAGUCUCUAAUGCCUAUCAGGCAAUGACGAAGGGGAGGACGACCCGAACCUGGGUCUCGAGGAGUCACACAGAUUCUUUGGUGACAAUGGAGCCAGGCACAACAGAACAAACAAACAACCAGACUCAUCUGAAGCCCAACAGAAACAGCAUCAAUGCCAAAAAGGAAUGGGGAAUCUGCACCAAGCGAGACAUUCCACCCACCCAGUACCAGAACAGGCGCCAGCACCAAGGCCAAGGACCAAGGCCAAAGGGGCCAUCAGCAUUGCGAGGGUCUUUGGUGCCAGUCACAGCACUGGUCUCAGUUCCACUGUCUGGGACCUGGGCAGCCUGAGCUGCAGUGCUGAUGAACCCAGCAGCUCUACGACCCAGCCAGAAUGUGCCACGGGCAUAAUGGAAGAUGAAGCAUAGAAGCUACAGCACCUUCAAACUCCUGAACUAGUAGAGAGUCAUGGACUAAGAGGGAAAGCAGGUCUGAUGUCACCUGAUACGCCUCCAGCGUGGAGACAGUCAGCACUGGUGCAGACAUCAUCAGUACCACACUCACUGGAUGCCCCAUGGCCAGAACCAGAGCUGAUAUGGGCUCUUGCUGAUCUCGGCACGGUACCAAGGAGAGGUUAGAUAGACUUGCUCCAUUGCGCAUGCCAGAAGGAAUAUGGCGCUGGUCAACACUCCUCUUAGAAGAUGAGAAAGUCUCCCAUAACCUUGGAGCGCUCCAUAAUUAGUCUUAUGGGACAUCUUCCUCACCUCACCAAAGGAGGGAGAGCAACUCCUCUUCCUCUGAGGAAACGCUAGAGUCCAUGUGAAGCAACAUGACUUGCUGGUUCCGAUGGCAACCAUCGAGCAGACGAGGGUCUCAGUGCUGAAGUGAGCCUCUUGCCCUGUUCCUUCAGGUGCUGCUUCACCCAUAAGUCUCUCACCACCUCCGUCCUCUUUUUGAACGACUUACAGAUGGAACACCAUUCCUGAUCAUAUCCCUCAGCCACAACAAGCACCUCAUGUGAGGAUCACCACCCACCCACAUGACAGGCAAUGCUUGAACCUUGGUGAGGGUAUCACAAAGGGCAGCCAACUAGUCCAACUAACACUAUACUAACACUUAACUAAACCUGAAAUGCUACUAGUUUUCUGGGAUUAUUUCCACUAAAUGAUGAGACCAAAAACAUGAGAUGAAAAUACCACACAAAGCUUCGACAUAAGCCACAGGCAGUGAAAAGGAACUGAGUGGGGGUCAGGAUGGAGCUGUCUUUAUAUAGCCAGAAGAGGGGCUAAGGCCAUGAGGGCACAAAUGCUGUCCUUCUGGGUACUGCUAGGCAAAGUUCUCCAGCUUCGGUGCACUGGGCACAAGUACACCUCUGUGGAAUACAUGGCUGCAGCUAUUCGAAGAUAGUAGUAUGAAGUAAUCGAUAUGUACGGAGGAGCAAAGUUGUGAAGGACCUUGAAAUCAAGAAGAAGCUUGAACCUGAUGCAGUGAAACAGGGUAAUGGAGGAAUUUAAAAGGGAAGGUAAUAUGGUUACAGCAGCCGGUAAAGGGUGAAAUUAUCCAGUUAUAAGAUGUCAGGAUGGAACAGCGGAGCUGCAUUUGCGUGCACGAGGCAGAUCACUGGGAAACUAAUUUUAAGAUCUAUAAGUCUACUGAUCUUCUGCUCAAACUCAGCAUCUCCAGCAUCAGCAUCAGCUACACUGCUUCUGCAGCUAGAUAAAGAAACUUCACUGGCUCUGUCCUCUUCCACUUCGUCAUCACCACCUUGUGAUACAUCCA